UCUUCAGUAGUAUAGAGGUCAGUAUUUCCGCUUGUCAAGCAAUUGACAGGCCGCGGGAGACCGGGGUUCGAUUCCCCGCUGGAGAG
rfam:Cochliobolus heterostrophus C5 unplaced genomic scaffold COCHEscaffold_3, whole genome shotgun sequence.